rnacentral:tRNA from 1 species
UGAAAAGUGGUGUAGACGAAGCAUUAAGAGUUUUGAUCUCUUGAGGUAGGGUUCAAAUCCCUACUUUCUAA